rnacentral:lncRNA from 1 species
CGACAGGCAAGGCUUCUCGCUGGAUUUUCGUGGGAGUCUUCGACUUCAGCUCCUCGCAAGCUGCGCAGAGUACGUCGACGGCACCCUCUGACUUGAAAGUAGCGCU